rnacentral:rRNA from 1 species
UGGGGGAUAUUGCACAAUGGGCGAAAGCCUGAUGCAGCGACGCCGCGUGGGGGAUGAAGGCCUUCGGGUUGUAAACUUCUUUUGCUCUGAACAAGGCAUGCCAAUGGGUGUGUUGAGUGUAGGGGUUGAUUAGCGCCGGCUAACUACGUGCCAGCAGCCGCGGUAAUACGUAGGGCGCGAGCGUUGUCCGGAAUUAUUGGGCGUAAAGGGCUUGUAGGUGGCUGGUUGCGUCUGUCGUGAAAGCUCAUGGCUUAACUGUGGGUUUGCGGUGGGUACGGGCUGGCUUGAGUGCAGUAGGGGAGGCUGGAAUUCCUGGUGUAGCGGUGAAAUGCGUAGAUAUAUGGAGGAACACCGGUGGCGAAAGCGGCUCUCUGGUCUGUAACUGACGCUGAGGCUCGAAAGCGUGGGGAGCGAACAGG